rnacentral:rRNA from 1 species
AUUGAACGCUGGCGGCAGGCCUAACACAUGCGAGUCGAACGAGUGGCGGACGGGUGAGUAAUGUCUGGGAAACUGCCUGAUGGAGGGGGAUAACUACUGGAAACGGUCGCUAAUACCGCAUACCAUCGGAUGUGCACAGAUGGGAUUAGCUAGUAGGUGGGGUAAAGGCUCACCUAGGGGACGAUCCCUAGCUGGUCUGAGAGGAUGACGGCCCACACUGGAACAGUGACACGGUCCUGACUCCUACGGGGGUCAGCAGUGGGGAAUGUUUGACAAUGUGCGAAAGCCUGAUCCAGCCACGCCGCGUGUCUGAUGAAGAUCUUCGGAUUGUAAAGCACUUUAAGUUGAGAAGCGUUACCAACAGAAUAAGCACCGGCUAACUUCGUGCCAGCAGCCGCGGUAAUAC